AUAUAUGUAAGACUCAGAUCGACGUCCGGUCUCUAAUCGACGUCCGUUCCUCAAAUCGACGUCCAAAUCUGACGUCACAAUAAAAUAUCCUUCCAAAUCGACGGCCAAUUUUAUGCCUAUCUAAUCGACGUCCAUUUUUUGGCAUUCUCUAAUCGACGUCCGAUUUUGAGCUUCUCUAAUCAACGUCUGUUUUUGACACAGAAUACAAAACUGAAGUGAACCGAUAGUAGCUGAAACAUUUAAACCUUUAAACAUAUUAUGUUGUGAUAUUAAUUUUUAAAUUUUAGAGAUUGGUAUGAUUUUCAGAGAGACAACUAUACACAGAGUUCAAAUAAAAUGGAUGUGAGGAAUUAUAACUUAUACGGAUUUCAACCAUGAUAAAAAUCCAUACCACAAAGGCUAGAAGAGGCCACGACAGAAAUAAUGUAAACAAUUCAAAUAAGAAAAUUAACG
rnacentral:lncRNA from 1 species